GAUAGUUCCCGGAAGUCCUAGGCGGGCAAUUGAAAAUGAACGAGAGAAACGGCAAAACGUUGAGUUUCAGAGACUGAGGAAAGAAGAAAUAUAGAGACUAAGAAGUGAAGAAAGAAGGGAUGCAGACACUGACAGAAGUUCCACUACGCUGCUAGCAUUUGAUACUAACUUCCGGGAACUAUUCAGACGCUCCAUGAUCCGCCAUUGCUGUGAAAAACUGUUCCAUUGGAGUGAACGGAGAUGACGCGACUCUCUCUUUAAAGGACUGCUGG